AGUUCAUAAUACAGUAUACAAUUCUAUAGGAUAUAAAAAUAUGGGAGGUAUAAGAUUAGAAGUUAAAGGUAGAUUAACUAAACGUUAUAGAGCAGAUAGAUCUAUAUAUUCACUUAAAUGAAAAGGUGGAUUAAAAAAUGUAGAUUCAUCAUUUAAACGUUUAAGUUCAGUCUUAUUUAGAGGAAACUCUAAAUCAAAUGUAUCUUAUUCAUUAACUAAUUCAAAACGUCGUAUUGGAGCGUUUGCAGUAAAAGGUUGAAUAAGUGGUAAAUAAUAAAGAAAAAAUAUGUGUAGAAUAAAGAUGAAGACAUAGUCUGAACCAUUUUGAAAGAAAUGGAAAUAUAAUAAUAUGAUAACAUAUAGAACAGGCUAAUUUGCGCAAGAGUGUACAAAAUGAGUGCGCGGUUUGGCACCUCGAUGUCGGCUUAACUUAUCCUCAUGGACGCAGGAACUAUGUAGGGUGCGACUGUUCGUCGAUUAAAAAGUUACAUGAGCUGGGUUAAAUACGUCGUGAGACAGUAUGGUUUCUAUCUUCUAGGGGGAAUUAGAAUAAAAUAAGAACGAACUUUUGUACGCAAGGAACAAGAAGAAUUUGACCCGUAAAAAGGUUAAAUUAUGGUUACUAACCUCUGGUUUACCUGUUGUUUAUGUGCCCAAUAUUAAAUAUAUAUACUUAGUAUAUAUAUAUGUAUUUUUAUACAUGGGAUGUUUCUUUCACUAAGAUAAAUGUAUAGCAUAAGCACGGCAGGAACGCUAAGUUGGUUAAGGAUAAGUGCUGAAAGCAUAUAGGCACGAAGCUUAUCUUAAGAUAUUUCUUAAAUAUACGUAAUAUAAUAUUACGAAACUAUAGGCUUUAUCCGUACGAAUCUAGAGAUUUUCAAGAAUAAAGUACUAAUUUAAU
rnacentral:rRNA from 1 species